CUUUAUUGGAGAGUUUGAUCCUGGCUCAGGAUGAACGCUGGCGGCGUGCCUAAUACAUGCAAGUCGAGCGAAUGGAUUGAGAGCUUGCUCUCAAGAAGUUAGCGGCGGACGGGUGAGUAACACGUGGGUAACCUGCCCAUAAGACUGGGAUAACUCCGGGA
rnacentral:rRNA from 1 species